UUCGCAAUGCCCGAAAGGGUGACGAUGCGACGCCGCGUGAGCGAAGAAGGCCCUAGGGUUGUAAAGCUCUGUCAGGGGUUAAGAAAUGUAGAUAGGUUAAUACCCUGUUUAUUUGACAAAAGCCCCAAAGGAAGCCACGGCUAACUCUGUGCCAGCAGCCGCGGUAAUACAGAGGUGGCAAGCGUUGUUCGGUAUUAUUGGGCGUAAAGAGCACGUAGGUGGUUUUGUAAGUCAGAUGUGAAAGCCUUCUGUUCAAAGGAAGAACGGCAUCUGAAACUGCAGAUCUUGAGUGUAGGAGGGGAGAGUGGAACUUCUGGUGGAGCGGUGAAAUGCGUAGAUAUCAGAAGGAACGUCGGCGGCGAAAGCGACUCUCUGGCCUAUUACUGACACUGAGUGUGCGAAAGUUAGGGGAGCAAACGGGAUUAGAUACCCCGGUAGUCCUAACCGUAAACGAUGGGCACUAAGUAGAGGGGUUUU
rnacentral:rRNA from 1 species